rnacentral:rRNA from 1 species
AGCCAGACUCCUACGGGAGGCAGCAGUGGGGAAUAUUGCACAAUGGGGGAAACCCUGAUGCAGCGACGCCGCGUGAGCGAUGAAGUAUUUCGGUAUGUAAAGCUCUAUCAGCAGGGAAGAAAAUGACGGUACCUGACUAAGAAGCCCCGGCUAACUACGUGCCAGCAGCCGCGGUAAUACGUAGGGGGCAAGCGUUAUCCGGAUUUACUGGGUGUAAAGGGAGCGUAGACGGCUGUGCAAGCCAGAUGUGAAAGCCCGGGGCUCAACCCCGGGACUGCAUUUGGAACUGUGUGGCUGGAGUGUCGGAGAGGCAGGCGGAAUUCCUAGUGUAGCGGUGAAAUGCGUAGAUAUUAGGAGGAACACCAGUGGCGAAGGCGGCCUGCUGGACGAUGACUGACGUUGAGGCUCGAAAGCGUGGGGAGCAAACAGGAUUAGAUACCCCAGUA